rnacentral:lncRNA from 1 species
AAUCUCACCCCUGUAAGAGGUGCCACUUCAGAAUCUGCCCCCACCUCCUCUCUUGCCUGCCAAGCCAAUAACUAGGAUUGAGGUCAUGCUGGGCCUGGUCUAUGUUUCUGCCACCCUCUGUGAUGGUGAGUCUGAAGGAACUGGACUGCCUGAACACCCCACAGAACAUCACUCUGAUCUAUUACAUUGACAACAUCACGAUGAUUGGACAAGUUGAGCAAGAGAUGAGGAAGCUGAGGAUCAGAGAAGUUAAAAAAUGUCAUCCAAGAUCACAUAUCCAGAAGCUGCAGAGCCAGGACUUGAACUCAUGUCUGUCUGACUCCAGCCAUGCUUUUAAUCACUCUGCUGGGCUCAUUAGUACCUAUCAGGCCUAUGAUUGUGUCCUUAGUGAUUAGCACUUUCCCCAGAGCUGGAAAUGAGAUGCGAGAGAAAUAAAAAUGCUUGAGAUCUAAACUGAAAUGCAGAAAUUCUCUAUUAUCUACUAGGUACAAAGGAGGCCUUGACUAGGUGCUUUGUGUGUGUUGAGGUUGUAAGUGCUGUGGAAAUAGAAUUUGGAGGAAGACAGACAGAAUUACACAUGAUUGACUAUAAUAAAUACAAACCUAUAUGAUACAACAUGUUAUUGCUGUACAUAAGAUAACGGGAAAAAUCAGUACUGAAUGAGAAUGAGAAGACGAAGAUUUCAAUCUAGUUUUUGCCACAUACCAAAUGUAGCACUAGAUCAAUGAGGGUCUCAACAGGCAACAGGGGGUUCAAAUAAAAGAUUCAAUGAAAGAACUACUUUGAGAAAUAUUAAGAAGGGUUAGGGGUGGAGGUUCGUAAUGCACCCAGACACUAGCAACAGUGGAAGCUGAUAGCACCCCUAGGAUGGAAAGAUUCUUACUCUUUUUUUAAGAUUCUUUAAGAUUCUUUAAGAAUCUAGGGUAAGAUUCUUACUCUUACCCUAGGGGAGGUAAGAGUAAGAAUGGGCAUCAUAGAACAAGGGCCACCAAACAAGAGCUGUACUUGUGGAGAGGUACUGUUACUACCAGACACAUGGCCCUGAACCUGGGAGAGGGCAGGGAAGAAAGACCUGGACUUCCACCUUGUGCUUUCUGAUGUGCUGGGAACUUCCAAUGCUAAGCCCUCAGAAGCCACCCUGACAGGGAACUAAUGAGACAUUUUCUACAGGGGUCUGUCCCAGGUGGAGCUUGGAUCUGAGGAAAGGGGAUGGAGAAUCACCUUCGGCAAGUCACUUUUCCUCUCUAAAUUUCAGUUUGCUCAUCCCUCGUUUAUUGCCUACCAUAUUAUCAAUAAUAUAAAUAGUUGGCCUUAUAAUUUUUACUUCGAAUUUUUUUGAAAAACCUCAAAUUUACAAAGAAUUUGUAAGAAUAGUACCAUGAAUACACACAUAUUCUUCACCUAGAUUCACCAAUUGUUAAAAUUCCAUCACUGCUGUUUAAUUCUUUUUAUCUUUCUCUGCUAACACAGACACAUAUUUUUGCUGAACCUUCUGAGAGUACUUGCUGACAUUCUGACACUUAAACCUCGAAUACCUAAGUAUUAUCUAUAAACAAGGAUGGUUCUCUACAUAACCCCAGUACGAUGAUCACAUUCAGGAAAUUAAACAUUAAGGCAAUGCUAUUAUGAAAUAUAGGCUAUACUCAAAUUUCCCCCAGUUUCUCAGUAAUCUGCUUUGUAUUAUUUUUUUCAAUCAAUAAUAACACAUUAAAUUCUGUCAUCAUGUCUCUAUUUUCUCCUUUAAUCUAGAAUGGUUUUCCAGGCUUUUCCCUUUUUAAUCUUUUGUGAUGUUAACAUUUUUGAAGAAUCUAGGCCAGUUAUUUUGCAGAAUAUGGAUUUGUCUGAUUAUUUCUUCAUGCUUAGAUUCAGUUAAAACAAUUUUGGCAAUAACUACACAAAGUUGUUGUGUCCUUCUCAGUGUAUUGUAUCUGGAGGUACCCUAUGUCAGAACACUCCAUCACAGUAAUCUUCAGUUGGGAUCACUUGGUUAAAGCAGUAUCUGCUAGAUUUAUCAAUUAUCUUUUCCCUAUUGUAAUUAUCAAGUAAUCUGUGGGGUGGUAUAUGUGAAUAUAUCUUUUCUCACCAAGAUUCUUUUACCCAGCAUUUUUUUUACAACCAUUUGAAUUUUCUUGCUAUGACAGAAUUAGUUUCAUAAGAGCAUAAUUAAGGAAUCUGGUAAGACGUCUUUGAAAGUUCUAAUUACAACCCUCAUCUCUUCUUAUGUUAAACUGUCUUCAUUCAUUUACCUACCUAUUUAACAAAUGUUUAAAGAAUGCUCGUUUUGUGGCUUGGCCUGUGACAUUUUCAUCAGUGGCUUCAUAGUUGCCUAAACUAAUGUCUCUUCCUGUGCUCCAGAAUCCUAUUGGCAACUAUUUUCCAUGGAUGCCAUAAACUCAACAUACUCAGAUGAAAGCUGUCAUUUCACUUUCUCACCUGCUCUUCCUGUUAUUUAUUCCAGUAAAUUGCACCUCUGUCUUCUCAUUGACCCUAUAAUAAGAAAGGCCUAUUUAUUGAGUGGCUAUCUGUUACAAUAGGCCUUUUAUACAUGUUACAUGCAUUAUCUCAUUUAAUCUUUUCAAUAAUCUUGAGAAUUAGAUGCCAUUAUCUGGAGGACAUUGGGCUUUGAGCCCCAGGUCAACAGUAAGCAAGUCCCCAUGCUAGGAUACAAAUCCAGUUAUCUUGGGCUUCAAAAUCUUUGCUUUAGCAUAGUGAUAAAGGUAUCACUGGCUUCAAAUCCUGGCUCUGCCACUUCCUACGGGUGAUUGGGUAAGUCACCUUAACUUUCAAUGCCUUGAUUUCCUUCUUUAUAAAAUGGGAAAAAUGGUAACUCUUGUCUUGUAGGGUUGUUAUGGACUUGAAAGAAACAAAACUUGCUGGGCGCGGUGGCUCACGCCUGUA